ensembl:lncRNA
CUAUGCCGGCUGGGCACGGCCCUGCCCGGCACCGCGCUGCCCAGCCCGGGGAACCCAGCCCGGGGAACCCCGCCCCGGCCGUGCCCCAGGCGGGCCCCGCGGGGGAGAGCGCCCGGGUCUCACCCACACGCACGGGGACGUACCGCGAUCCCCGCAGCCCCUCCUCACGGACCCCUCCACUCCAGGCCCAUCCCGGUGCUCGCCGCCCCCUCACCCCGGCAGCUCAAGGGGCCGUGCCUGUGUACCCUCUCUCCCUCCACGGGGCCGCACCUCGGUCUCCCCUCACGGCAGCGCGCUCGGCUCAGCCCCCCGCCCCUCAGCCUGGCAGUCCCCGCCCGCCGCGGCUCACCGGGGCCGGCGCUGCCUGCCCGGCCGGGACACCGAAACGCGGAGCCCCAGCGCCGCCGCUCCCCGCCGCUCGAAUCAACAACAAGAUGGCGGCGCCCGAGCGGGCGGAGCCCGGCGCUGGCCGUCAUAGCAACCGCGCCGUCCAAGGCCCGCCCCGCCACCCUGCGCGCCAAUCCACACCCGAGUCCCGCCCCACGGCUGCCCUGUCUGGGCGUUCAUAGGUCAAUCUCGGUGUCGCUCAAGCGAGGAGCCGCCCCGCCCUUUCCCGAGCGCGGACGGCAGCGCACGUUAGGCACACGUGACGCCCGCCAAAGCCCCGCCCUCUCGCGGACAGCGCCGCCUCAUUGGCUGCCCGCGGAGAACGGGGGGAGCUUGGCCAAUGGGCGCGGCCCGCGCGUGCUGGGGGCGCCCCGAACCGCGCUCCUCGAUCAGAACCCACCCCGGCAGUUCCGCGCUCCGAACCGCGCUCCUCGAUCAGAACCCACCCCGGCAGUUCCGCGCCCCGAACCGCGCUCCUCGAUCAGAACCCACCCCGGCAGUUCCGCGCUCCGAACCGCGCUCCUCGAUCAGAACCCACCCCGGCAGUUCCGCGCUCCGAACCGCGCUCCUCGAUCAGAACCCACCCCGGCAGUUCCGCGCUCCGAACCGCGCUCCUCGAUCAGAACCCACCCCGGCAGUUCCGCGCUCCGAACCGCGCUCCUCGAUCAGAACCCACCCCGGCAGUUCCGCGCUCCGAACCGCGCUCCUCGAUCCCGGCAGUUCGGGGCUCCGAACCGCGCUCCUCGAUCAGAACUCAUCCCGGCAGUUCGGGGCUCCGAACCGCGCUCCUCGAUCAGAACUCAUCCCGGCAGUUCGGGGCUCCGAACCGCGCUCCUCGAUCAGAACUCAUCCCGGCAGUUCGGGGCUCCGAACCGCGCUCCUCGAUCAGAACUCAUCCCGGCAGUUCGGGGCUCCGAACCGCGCUCCUCGAUCAGAACUCAUCCCGGCAGUUCGGGGCUCCGAACCGCGCUCCUCGAUCAGAACUCAUCCCGGCAGUUCGGGGCUCCGAACCCGCGCUCCCUGAUCAGAACCCACUCCCAGCCGGUCUUCACUCCGUGUUUCCCCAUACAAACUCACACCCGGCCGUCCCGCGGUCCCACACUCAGAGCUCCCCGCCCUAAGCCCCCAGGGCCGCUCCGCAUCCCCCUCCGGCCGCCGCUCCGAGCGGGGUCUCGCCAAUGGGACACGCUCACGCACCACUCCCGUAUCAUAAAGGGUUAA